GAUGAACGCUAGCGAUAGGCUUAACACAUGCAAGUCGAGGGACCGGCGGAUGGGUGAGUAACGCGUCUGCAACUUGCCUCUUAGUCGGGGAUACCCCGGAGAAAUCCGGACUAAUACCGCAUACUCAGAUAUAGGCAUUCGUUCCAUUAGUUAGUUGGUGAGAUAACGGCGCACCAAGGCAUCGAUGGAUAGGGGAGCUGAGAGGCUGAGCCCGCACAUUGGGACUGGGACACGGCCCAAAGUCCUACGGGAGGCAGCAGUGAGGAAUAUGGGUCAAUGGAGGAAACUCUGAACCAGCCAAGUCGCGUGAAGGAUGACUGUCUAUGGAUUGUAAACUUCUUUAGUAGGCGAGUAAGUAGCCUAAGAAUAAGUAUCGGCUAACUCCGUGCCAGCAGCCGCGGUAAUUC
rnacentral:rRNA from 1 species